rnacentral:lncRNA from 1 species
GCAUCUUCAUGACCUGCCUCCAGGAGUCGCGGGUGGAGAUCUUGUCGUACCACCUGGCCACGUGCUUCCUGGCGGUGAAGAGCUUCCUGCCCCUGUCGGAGGAGUUGACGAUGUAGUGGGAGUUUGGCAGGUGGGAGAGGUCGGCCAGUGUGAAGUCGUCGCCGGCGAGGUACUCGUUCUUGGAGAGGAUGUCGUCGUAGACGCCCAGCAUGCUGUGCAGCUUCUUCUCGUUCUCCGCGACGCGGGCCUCGUCGGGCCGCACGUCCUUGAGGUGCGGCGCGAACGCCAGCUGGAACGCCAGCUCCGAGCUCGGCGCGUCGAAGCUCUGCGCCUCCGCCUGCAGCCACUGCUCUAUGGACGCCCGCUCCAGCGACCCCGUGCCGUACAGCUUCUUGUACCCGUCGUCCGGGAACUGCGUGCACAGGUACCGGCAGAUAGUCCUGGAAUCUGCGCGCGCGAUGCAAGCAGCAUUUCAGUUUCAGCCUUUAUAGCAUAUAUACUACUGUAUAAUAGCUUGUCCAUUCUGCUGUUUGAGAUUUAUUAUUGUAAAUGCUAGCUGCUUCUGAUCAGUUCUUUUCUUACCAACGAUUGUCUUGUCACCGUGCUUGAAAGUCACCUGCCCGGUAGGAUCCUGCAGAGCGCCAGAGCCACACCCACACAGCAGCAGAUUAUUAGUUUUUGUUUUUCUAGUAGUGAUCUGAUCUCCAAGAUCGAGAGAGGGACAGAGAGAAACCGAAUUAUUUAUAUUGAAUAAUGCACUCAAGAGUCAAGACCAAGGCGAUGAUGACAAUGGCAUACCCUCAGCUUGAUGAACUCGGGGAGCUUGUGCGACUUCUUGAAGGUGUCGGUGCGGACGAGCUCGAACUCGAGGUUCUUCUCGAAGAGGCAGGUCAGCACCCUGGCGACGUCGGUGGAAGCCGGCUGUCCGAACACCUGCAGCCCCGCGGCCAUUGCUCGAUUCGACCGGUGUGUGUUUGGACUGGAUGCGCUGCAGCGAUUGAGAGCAAUGCGCUGGAUGACCGAGACGAGGCCUGCUGCAGGUGAGGUGAGCCAGACACUGAUGCGGUGUGCCUCGAUGAAGACGAGACGGCGGUCCAUCGGCGCCUAUUUAUGCAGGUGGGUAAUAUGCUUGCCUUGCCGCCGAGGAUUACAGCACGGCAGCGGAAAGCGAAAGCUCCCCGAUCCGCCCCUCAUCUUAUCAAAGGCAAAUUAAAGAGCGUCAGGGUUCUUGCUUGGAUCGAGCAACCAUGCAUGCAUGCGCGCACGCUCUCUGUCUCCAGGGCGAAGAAAAUUAGAAAGAUCGCGCGGGGACGGUAGGUGCGUCGGGUCGCCCAUGGCGGCGUUCAUGAUGCGUGCAUGCGAUCCUUUAGCAACGGGGCCGGGGUUGAGCAACACGUACCGAAAGACCCAUCUAUGGCAGUGUCGGGUUGGAUUGAAUACUUGGAUUUCGUACGGAGUUGGCGCCAAAGAGGUUGUAGCAGGUGGCUUCUGUCGGGGUUCAAGAACAUAACUCGCGCGCCAUGUAAUGUUGGGCUUUGUUUCAUCAAAAUUAAAGCUAGAUUCUGGUGCAAUCUUCAGUGAGACACGGGACUAGGAAUUCGAUAUGGUUCCGCCGGGCAUAGAAACAUUUGCUUCUUCUUCUUCUUCUUGAGAUGUACCGUACGUUCAGGUGCCUUUGCGUGCUAACAGGUAAAGCAGAUCUAUAUAUGGGCAGCACAAAAAGAUAAAGAUUGUAGAGGGUAGAUCUGAAUAUCUGAUCGAGUGUUACAGUAACGAUAUGUCCCCCGAGAACUUGAGCUCCCGCCAGUGGCGGUGUUGUGAUGGAAGAAGUAGAAAUUUGGUUCUUUGCCGAGUGCCAAAUAUUUGUCAAGUGUUUUUUCGAGCACUCGGUAAAGAAACGAAAAAAAUCCUCGGUAAAAUAAAACACUCACACUCGGCGAAGAAGCUAUUUGCUGAGUGUUUUAUUUUUGACACUCAGUAGUAUUUUUUGACACUCGGCAAAGAACUUCUUUAUCGAGUGCUUUUUUUUAACAAUAGACAAAGACAAUUUAAAAAUCACAUUUUAAAACAGUAAAUUAAUUUAAAUUAAGUUGUAGUUCUUGAAAUGUAAUGAAACUUUAUAAUUAACAAAUUUUUUUAUUUGAAAUCAUUUUAUCAUUAAAAAUUCGUGUAAAGUUUUCAAAUUUGAAAUUCAAAUUUUAUAAACGGCCUCAAUGUAUAAAAAAUGUUCAGCUGCCUUCCUGUUUCGGUGCCUUUGGUUGUCCGUUCUGGAAACUCGUUCGCUGUACAAGUGAAGUACAUUGCUUUUCUUUUCUCAGAAUCUAUGGCAUUGUGGUGAUCACUGAACUCACUCGAUUGUGAUUACAGAUAAACUACUUGGCCACAGCAUACCAGCACGGUGGCAGAUCCGCACCAUCUGACUUGGUCACUUGGAGUGCCUGAUGCUUGCAUGGGCCAGCGAGUCAGAUCUAAAACUCAUUUAGAUCAACUAUUCUGGAUUUCAGAAGUAGAAUAAAAACAAUCUAGACAACUGAUUUGGACGCGCUUCAAAGUUUCGCAAACAUCCUGAGGUCUGUCCUCUAUGUGAUCAGGAGCCGGAGAAUAUCCAACAUCUCCUUUGCAGUUGCAUCUUUGCUAGACAAUUUUGGCAUUGCAUUCUUGCACCGUUGGGGCUUGCUGAUCUUUCUCCUGUUUCUAUUGAGAUAUCUUUUGCUGAGUGGUGGAGGAAGGUGUGUAAGCAAGUGCACAAAUCCAAAAGAAGAGGCAUUAACAGCGUCAUCAUCUUGGGGGCUUGGUGUCUAUGGAUUCAUCGUAAUAAGGCAGUUUUUGAGGGUGUCAGUCCUUCCAUAAGCAGAAUUAAAAAAGUUUUCUUGGAAGAGUUAGAAUGUUGGGGUCUAGCCGGUGCCAAGCAUCUUGAGGGCUUAGGCCUAGGUGCUGCCAUUAUUAGGUCCAGGAAUUUUCUGGGUGAGUAGUGCAGGUGUGUGUGGGGAGCCUGUUGUGGGCUUUGUACUUUGGUCCAUUUUGGACCUUUUUCUUCUCUUAAUAUAAUGAUGCGCAGCUCUCCUGCGCGUUCAAGAAAAAAAAGUUUCGCAAACAUCAGCAAAAGCUAACCGAUAGCCUUUAGUCGAGCGGACAGUACGCGCUUUCUGGAGCCUGGCACUCUGAUAUCUUGCCUAUACUAGUACAUUCGAGUUCGAAACCGUUCAUGUACUUCGAAUCAUCAAAAGGCGUCAAAUUUUGGCUUUACGGCAUACAGUUAACCAAAGGCGACGCAUCAAACCAGGGGUUUGGUUCAUCGAAACUGACAGAACAGAAAAGACUUUCUACUGUAUGUCUCGAUCGAAAUCAUCAGUAAAAAAAAUACUGUGCGUACAAGGUCAGAGAUCGAGCUUAUACGUCAUGAUAGAUUGAGCAAAAGGAUCAUAUACAUCACAGCUGGGCUUCACAUUAUUUUUGGUUCACACGACAACACUGAUAGGAGAAAUUAAACAAUGGAUCACUCAAAAACAAAAUGAACUGUAGAGCCAGACCGACACAGACGAUGAAGCCAUUCAUGAUGGUGCACUCGCAGCUCCCCCCAAGACAAGCAAUCACUCGAACGCACCAGGAUGUUCCUUCUGCAUCUUAGCGACCUGCUUCCACGUCUCGCGCUUCGAGAGCUUCUCGUACCACUUGGCCACGUUCUUCUUGUUAGUGAAGAGCUUCCUUCCUCUCUCGGUGUUCACGAUGUAGUGCGAGUUCGGGAGGUGGGAGAGGUCGGCCAGGGUGAACUCGUCGCCAGCCAGGUACUCGUUCCUCGAGAGUAUCUCGUCGUAGACAUCAAGGACCUGCUUCAGCUUAUCCUCGUUCUCGGCGAUCACGGCAGGGUCCUGACGAAC